AGUGAACGCUGGCGGCAGGCUUAACACAUGCAAGUCGAGCGCCCCGCAAGGGGAGCGGCAGACGGGUGAGUAACGCGUGGGAAUCUACCCAUCCCUACGGAAUAGCUCCGGGAAACUGGAAUUAAUACCGUAUACGCCCUACGGGGGAAAGAUUUAUCGGGGAUGGAUGAGCCCGCGUUGGAUUAGCUAGUUGGUGGGGUAAAGGCCUACCAAGGCGACGAUCCAUAGCUGGUCUGAGAGGAUGAUCAGCCACAUUGGGACUGAGACACGGCCCGAGCUCCUACGGGAGGCAGCAGUGUGGAAUAUUGGACAAUGGGGGCAACCCUGAUCCAGCCAUGCCGCGUGAGUGAUGAAGGCCUUAGGGUUGUAAAGCUCUUUUGGCGGGGACGAUGAUGACGGUACCCGCAGAAUAAGCCCCGGCUAACUUCGUGCCAGCCGCCGCAGUAA
rnacentral:rRNA from 1 species